rnacentral:rRNA from 1 species
UAGGGAAGUCUUCCACAAUGGACGAAAGUCUGAUGGAGCAACGCCGCGUGAGUGAAGAAGGGUUUCGGCUCGUAAAACUCUGUUGUUAAAGAAGAACAUAUCUGAGAGUAACUGUUCAGGUAUUGACGGUAUUUAACCAGAAAGCCACGGCUAACUACGUGCCAC